CCAGACAGAGCGGAAAAGUGGGAAGAGGCAGACUGAGCGGGAAAAGAAGAAGAAGAUUCUGGCUGAGAGGAGGAAGGUGCUGGCCAUUGACCACCUGAAUGAAGAUCAGCUGAGAAGGCCAAGGAGCUGUGGCAGAGCAUCUAUAACUUGGAGGCAGAGAAGUUCGACCUGCAGGAGAAGUUCAAGCAGCAGAAAUAUGAGAUCAAUGUUCUCCGAAACAGGAUCAACGAUAACCAGAAAGUGUAAACCCGCGGGAAGGCUAAAGUCACCGGGCGCUGGAAAUAGAGCCUGGCCUCCUUCACCAAAGAUCUGCUCCUCGCUCGCACCUGCCUCCGGCCUGCACUCCCCCAGUUCCCGGGCCCUCCUGGGCACCCCAGGCAGCUCCUGUUUGGAAAUGGGGAGCUGGCCUAGGUGGGAGCCACCACUCCUGCCUGCCCCCACACCCACUCCACACCAGUAAUAAAAAGCCACCACACAC
rnacentral:lncRNA from 1 species